rnacentral:rRNA from 1 species
AAUUAUAUGUUAUUAUAUAUAACUAUUUCUGCUCAAUGGAGUACUAAAUAGCCGCAGUACUUUGACUGUGCAAAGGUAGCAUAAUCAGUUGACUUAUAAUUGAAGUCUGGCAUGAACGAAUUUACGGGUAACGACUGUCUCGGGGAGAAAUUAAAGAAUUUAAUUAUCAAGUGCAAAUGCUUGAGGACUUAAAAUAGACGAGAAGACCCUAGAAACUUUAAAUUUUGUUGGGGCGACAGAAUUACACGGAACUAAUUUUAAUAUUACGUGAAGCGUAGAAGAAAGAUUAAGUUACUCUAGGGAUAACAGCAUAAUUUAUAAUAGUUUGUGACCUCGAUGUUGGACUAGGUAAUGUAGUUUUUAGAAGAAACUACUGGUUGCUCUGUUCGAGCAGUUUUACCUACAU